AUGGGCUCCGCGGCCCGAGCGCCUCUUUUCGGGAUUAAAAGCGCCGCCAGCUCCCGCCGCCGCCGCCGUCGCCAGCAGCGCCGCUGCAGCCGCCGCCGCCGGAGAAGCAACCGCGGUGGCAACUUUUCCUCUUUUUUUUUUUUUUUUCCGCCGCCGCCGCCGCCGCCUGCUCCUCCUCCUCCCGCCGCCACCGCCCGGACGCGGGGCUCCUCGGGCGCCUGGGCUGCUUUGCAUGGGGCUGUCCUGCCCUCCCGCGCCCGGCCGCCGCCGCCCGCGCUCCCCGCGCCCGCACCCUGCUCGCUCGCUGCGUCCCGCUCGCCUUCCCCCCUGCGCCAAACUUUCUCUUUCUCUUCUUCUUCCUCCUCCUCCCGUCGCUGCCGCCGCCGCCGCCGCCGCCGAGCCCGGGCCGCCCCCUCCUCCCCGGCCCCCGCGCCGCCGCCGCCGCCGCCGCCGGCCGCCGGCGACCCCCGGGAGGGUGGAGGCGCCCGGGGCGAGGCCCGCGCGGCGAGUUUGGCGGCGCCGCCAGGCAGGGCCGGCCGGGGCGCGGGCCGAGGGCGGGAGGGCGGCCGGGGUCCCAGCUCAGAGACAAAGGCGGCGGCCGGCGGUGGGGGAGUGUGGGGGUCCGCGGUGCCGAGCGCCCCGCCCCCGCCGCUCCCGGCCCCCAACUUUGCCCCACCCCGAGAGGCGCCGUGGCCCCGGGCUGAGCCGCCGCGCGGGCGCGCACCCGGACCGGAGCAGUCGCCGCGGUCGCAGCCGCUGCUGCUGCCGCGGCCGCCACCGCUGGCCGGGCGGCCGGGCGAGCGCCUUCCUCGCCGGGGCUCGACUUGCCGGGGACGCGGGAGCCCGUUCGGAGCCCCGGGGUCCUGGAGGGGCGAGGCGGCCGCGCGAUCCUCUACCUGCGCGCUCUCCGCCCUGCCCCACUGGCAGCGCCGCGAGCGCCCAGAGGGGACUCUGCCCUGGACACUAGGGGCUCCCGGGGGCUCCAGGCUGCGCCGCUGGCCAGGGCCAGACCUCGCCUGGCCGGCCUUCCUCCGCCAGCUGAGCUCGGAGACAUCCGAGGAUGCCUUUUUUCUUUUUCUUUUCUUUCUUCUUUUUUUUUGCUCUCGCGAAUCUGGGAUUGUUUACGUUCGGUUCCCCACUCUCACCCCUCGCCCGGCUCCACUCGAUGCAAAAACCAUGUUCCUGAAUUUUACAUUAUGCAUUUUAAUGUACAUCUUUUUGCAUAUCUAUUGGAGAGUAGAUCUAAGUGUAUUUCAUACAGUGUAUAUAAUUGUGUAUGGACUCAGUACUCGGAGGGUUCUUGUAUAA
rnacentral:lncRNA from 1 species